rnacentral:rRNA from 1 species
UAGAGUUUGAUCAUGGCUCAGGAUGAACGCUAGCGGCAGGCUUAACACAUGCAAGUCGAAGGGCAUCGCGGGGAGUGCUUGCACUCCCUGGCGGCGACUGGCGCACGGGUGAGUAACACGUAUGCAACCUGCCCUCCACAGGGGGACAACCUUCCGAAAGGGAGGCUAAUCCCGCGUAAAUCUCGAUGGGGCAUCCCAUUGAGAGGAAAGCUUCGGCGGUGGAGGAUGGGCAUGCGGCGCAUUAGCUAGUCGGCGGGGUAACGGCCCACCGAGGCGACGAUGCGUAGGGGUUCUGAGAGGAAGGUCCCCCACACUGGUACUGAGACACGGACCAGACUCCUACGGGAGGCAGCAGUGAGGAAUAUUGGUCAAUGGGCGCGAGCCUGAACCAGCCAAGUCGCGUGAGGGAAGACGGUCCUAUGGAUUGUAAACCUCUUUUGUCGGGGAGCAAAAGACGCCACGUGUGGCGUUCCGAGAGUACCCGAAGAAAAAGCAUCGGCUAACUCCGUGCCAGCAGCCGCGGUAAUACGGAGGAUGCGAGCGUUAUCCGGAUUUAUUGGGUUUAAAGGGUGCGCAGGCGGAAGAUCAAGUCAGCGGUAAAAUUGAGAGGCUCAACCUCUUCGAGCCGUUGAAACUGGUUUUCUUGAGUGAGCGAGAAGUAUGCGGAAUGCGUGGUGUAGCGGUGAAAUGCAUAGAUAUCACGCAGAACUCCGAUUGCGAAGGCAGCAUACCGGCGCUCAACUGACGCUCAUGCACGAAAGUGUGGGUAUCGAACAGGAUUAGAUACCCUGGUAGUCCACACAGUAAACGAUGAAUACUAAUUGUUCGGGGAGAAUGAUCCCUGAGUGAUACAGCGAAAGCGUUAAGUAUUCCACCUGGGGAGUACGCCGGCAACGGUGAAACUCAAAGGAAUUGACGGGGGCCCGCACAAGCGGAGGAACAUGUGGUUUAAUUCGAUGAUACGCGAGGAACCUUACCCGGGCUCAAACGACACAGGAACGUACCUGAAAGGGUUCGGCUCUACGGAGCCUGUGUCGAGGUGCUGCAUGGUUGUCGUCAGCUCGUGCCGUGAGGUGUCGGCUUAAGUGCCAUAACGAGCGCAACCCCCAUCGACAGUUGCUAACAGGUCAGGCUGAGGACUCUGUCGAGACUGCCGGCGCAAGCUGCGAGGAAGGCGGGGAUGACGUCAAAUCAGCACGGCCCUUACGUCCGGGGCGACACACGUGUUACAAUGGCAGGUACAGCGGGAAGCCACCUGGCGACAGGGAGCGGAACCCGAAAGCCUGUCUCAGUUCGGAUUGGAGUCUGCAACCCGACUCCAUGAAGCUGGAUUCGCUAGUAAUCGCGCAUCAGCCACGGCGCGGUGAAUACGUUCCCGGGCCUUGUACACACCGCCCGUCAAGCCAUGGAAGCCGGGGGUGCCUGAAGUGCGCUGCCGCGAGGAGCGCCCUAGGGUAAAACCGGUGACUGGGGCUAAGUCGUAACAAGGUAACCGUAA